rnacentral:lncRNA from 1 species
ACUAAUUGCAAACAUUAAAUAGACAAUAUGAUGACACAUGUAUGCAAUGUGGAGAUUGCAGCGUAGAUCAACGUUUCAGCACAUGCCCCGUCACUGCUUCGCCGGAGAAAUCUUCCGCCGGUCAGCAAAUGAUUCAGCUCCUCCAUGAAACUUUCUACCCACAUUUAGUUGUACCGAAUGCCUUUUGCCAAGGAUCACCGGAAAUAGUCUAUUGGAGUUAGUUUGGUCACCGGAAAUUUAAACUUCAGCUGAUUAGGAUUAGAAUAUUCCUUGGAGGACCAUUAAAACAUGACGUGAACCCCAACUCGUCAUACUCUUCUCCAAUCAACCACAACACCUUGAUCUAUCAUCCAUGAAGAACCGAUGCCCUUACGCUUU